CUGCAGAGGAGAGAGGGACGUCCACCCGUCACCACUGAGACCAUGAUGCAUCACUUCAUUGACUCUUCAUCAUUUCGGAGACGUCAGCUCAGGUUGUUGGAAACGAACGUGUCAGUGGGAGACGUUCUGUGUUGGUUCCUCCUUCAACAGAGAACACAUUUUCGUCUUACUUGAGGAACUUGGCGUACUCCGG